GAGCAACGAUGAAAAGGUUUUGCUACUGACCUUUAUAACUAUAACUAUGAACAUUUCUAACUUGAUCUGAGCUCA